UCUCCAUGUGAGGUACUGAAUAAAACUAAACCAUCUGUUGAUUUUGUAAGAAUUUUUGGUUGUGUUUGUUAUGUGUAUGUUCCAUAUGAUCAAAGAAACAAGCUCCAACCAAAAAGCAUCAAAUGCAUGUUUAUCGUAUAUUCUUCUACUCAAAAAGGGUAUAACUGCUACCACCUAGGAACAAGAAGGACAUAUGUUUCUCGUGAUGUGAAUUUGAUGAAGAAAAGUGCUUCUUUGCAGAAAAAGAUUGGAACAAAUUGAAGGACUUGACAAAAUUCAGAAACUGAUCGUGCUCAAAGCCUCAAGUUUCUCUUGGAAACCCUCAAUUCUUUAAACAACAAUAAGGAAGGAGAUAUACAAAUUCAACAGACUUCUGAAAUUCUGCAAACGACUUCUGAAAUUCUGAAAACGACUUCUGAAAGCCUGCAGCAGCUUUCUGAAAACCUGCAGCCGACUUCUGCAAACCCGCAGCAGACUACUAAAAACCGCCAACAGACUUCUGAAAACCAGAAUAGCCUUCUAAAAACCUACAACAGAUUUCUGAAAACCUGCUGCAGACUCCAUGUCCUCAUGAUGUCUCUUCUACAAAUCCUACAACUUCAACUGAGGCUCAAACAACCAACGUUGAUUCUGAUGCUCACAAUCCUGAAAUAGCCAUUCAUAAAGACGAUUCUCCUUUGCCUCUCCGAAGAAGUACUCGACUAAGGACUGACCCUGCU
rnacentral:lncRNA from 1 species